rnacentral:piRNA from 1 species
UAUUAAAUGUUAUAUAGUGUAGAACCGAAGC